rnacentral:rRNA from 1 species
CUAGUGUAGAGGUGAAUUCGUAGAUAUUAGAAAGAAUACCAAUUGCGAAGGCAGCUUUCUGGAUCAUUACUGACACUGAGGAACGAAAGCAUGGGUAGCGAAGAGGAUUAGAUACCCUCGUAGUCCAUGCCGUAAACGAUGUGUGUUAGACGUUGGAAAUUUAUUUUCAGUGUCGCAGCGAAAGCGAUAAACACACCGCCUGGGGAGUACGACCGCAAGGUUAAAACUCAAAUGAAUUGACGGGGACCCGCACAAGUAGUGGAGCAUGUGGUUUAAUUCGAAGAUACGCGCAGAACCUUACCAACACUUGACAUGUUCGUCGCGACUUUAAGAGAUUAAAGUUUUCGGUUCGGCCGGACGAAACACAGGUGCUGCAUGGCUGUCGUCAGCUCGUGUCGUGAGAUGUUGGGUUAAGUCCCGCAACGAGCGCAACCCUCACUUUUAGUUGCCAUCAUUAAGUUGGGCACUCUGAAAGAACUGCCAGUGAUAAGCUGGAGGAAGGUGGGGAUGACGUCAAGUCCUCAUGGCCCUUACGUGUUGGGCUACACACGUGCUACAAUGGUAUCUACAACAGGAAGCGAAACAGCGAUGUUAAGCAAAUCCUUAAAAGAUACCUCAGUUCGGAUUGCACUCUGCAACUCGAGUGCAUGAAGCUGGAAUUACUAGUAAUCGUGGAUCAGCGUGCCACGGUGAAUGCGUUCCCGGGUCUUGUACACACCGCCCGUCACACCAUGGGAGUUGGUUCUACCUUAAGGCAAGGUUUAAUACCCUUGACCACGGUAUAGUCAGCGACUGGGGUGAAGUCGUAACAAGGUAGCCGUAGGGGAACCUGCGGCUG